CAGAGAUAUUACUUUGCCAACCAGGGUCCAUAUAGUCAAAGCAAUGGUUUCCAGUAGUUAUGUACAAAUGAGACUGUUGGACCACAAAGAAGGCUGAGCACCAAAGAAUUGAUGCUUUUGAAUUGUGGUGCUGGAGAAGACUCUUGAGAGUCCCUUGGACUGCAGGGAGAGCAAACCAGUCAAUCCUAAAUGAAAUGAACCCUGAAUACUCACUGGAAAGGCUGAUACUGAAGCUGAAGCUCCAAUACUUUGGCCACUUGAUGGAAAAGUCCCUAAUGCUGGAAAAGAUUGAGGGCAGGAGGAGAGGAUGAGAUGAUUGGAUGGCAUCAUCGACUCAUUGGAUGUGAGUUUGAGCAAACUCUGGGAGAUAGUGAAGGACAGGGAACCCUGGCGUGCUGCAGGUCAUGGCAUCACAAAGAGUCAGACAUGACUGAGUGACUGAACAACAGCAACAAUAGUACAACCAAUGGCAAAAACAGCCAAAGGUCAAGAAAGCACCACAUAUUUCAACUGCAAAAACUUAGAUUAACAGGCUCAGCAUCUCCAUGUGGCCUACUUUCCAUUGGCUGUGUCUUUGGGUUCUCUCUGUGACAGCACACUGGACAAGGUUCUUCCAGGAUUCUGCGGUCAGGAACAUGGCAGAUGACAAAUUGACACGACAAACUGAAAAGCAGAAGUUAGUGUUCAAAGAAGUUCAAGAGUAAACAUUUAGUCAAUUCGUCUGCUUAGACUGAGAAAGCCUCCGUGCCCAGGAUUCUGAAGGUAGGUUCUAGAUUAGUGGAGAAGAUUCUCUGUACUCUUUUCCCAGCUUCAGGUCACAUGCAGAAUGAGUCUACUCAUAGCGUCCUCA
rnacentral:lncRNA from 1 species